UACGUAGGGUGCGAGCGUUAAUCGGAAUUACUGGGCGUAAAGCGUGCGCAGGCGGUUCGUCGUGUCGGUGGUGAAAGCCCCGGGCUUAACCUGGGAAUGGCCAUGGAAACUGGCGAACUGGAGUGUGGCAGAGGGGGGUGGAAUUCCGCGUGUAGCAGUGAAAUGCGUAGAGAUGCGGAGGAACACCGAUGGCGAAGGCAGCCCCCUGGGCUAGCACUGACGCUCAGGCACGAAAGCGUGGGGAGCAAACAGG
rnacentral:rRNA from 1 species